UACGUAGGGGGCAAGCGUUGUCCGGAAUCAUUGGGCGUAAAGCGCGUGUAGGCGGCCCGAUAAGUCCGCUGUGAAAGUCCAGGGCUCAACCCUGGGAUGCCGGUGGAUACUGUCGGGCUCGAGUCCGGAAGAGGCGAGUGGAAUUCCUGGUGUAGCGGUGAAAUGCGCAGAUAUCAGGAGGAACACCCGUGGCGAAAGCGGCUCUCUGGGACGGUACUGACGCUGAGACGCGAAAGCGUGGGGAGCAAACAGG
rnacentral:rRNA from 1 species